GCCCUUAGAGUUUGAUCCUGGCUCAGGAUGAACGCUAGCGGCAGGCUUAACACAUGCAAGUCGAGGGGUAACAGGGAUUGCUUGCAAUCCGCUGACGACCGGCGCACGGGUGCGUAACGCGUAUGCAACCUACCUUCUACAGGGGGAUAGUCAAUAGAAAUGUUGAAUAACACCCCAUACGAUCUUUGAAUAGCAUUAUUUAAAGAAGAAAGUUCCGGCGGUAGAAGAUGGGCAUGCGUCCUAUUAGUUAGUUGGAGAGGUAACGGCUCCCCAAGACAUCGAUAGGUAGGGGUCCUGAGAGGGAGACCCCCCACACUGGUACUGAGACACGGACCAGACUCCUACGGGAGGCAGCAGUGAGGAAUAUUGGACAAUGGAGGCAACUCUGAUCCAGCCAUGCCGCGUGCAGGAAGACUGCCCUAUGGGUUGUAAACUGCUUUUAUACAGGAAGAAAUGUACCUACGUGUAGGUAUUUGACGGUACUGUACGAAUAAGGAUCGGCUAACUCCGUGCCAGCAGCCGCGGUAAUAAGGGCG
rnacentral:rRNA from 1 species